rnacentral:lncRNA from 1 species
UUGGGUACAACAUGAACAGGACUUACCCACUCACUAUCAGAAAUUGGGUAGAUAAUUCCUGCAUCNAGCAAUUUAAUUACUUCUUUCCUUACCACUUCCUUCAUAGUCGGGUUGAGUCUUCUUUGUGGUUGACGCACAGGUUUGAAAUCGUCUUCCAAAUAAAUUUUAUGCAUGCACACAGUAGGACUAAUACCUUGCAAAUCAUCAAUUUUCCACCCAAUGGCAGAUUUAUACUCCCGCAACACCCUUAAGAGUUUAUCUUCUUCAGUGGAGGAAAGUUCAUUGCUCACAAUUACUGGAUUAAGCUUUUGCUCAUCUAGGAACCUGUAUUUAAGGUGAGAAGGAAGUUGUUUCAAUUCCACCUUGGACGUUUCUACUCCUCCAUCUUCCCUCUUGUGUAAAUCUUCUAUUCCUCUAGUGGAAUUGAAUAUUGGCUUUAGCACUUCCAAUUGAUGAGUGCACUUCACCACCUC